rnacentral:tRNA from 1 species
GAGGGUGUGGCGAAAUUGGUAGACGCAGCAGUUAGCUGUCAUCAUGGACGGAUAGCAACCGUUUAAAUGUAUGUCGAGGUACACAUGAUUUACAGGUUCGAAUCCUGUUGCCCUCA